AUUUACUUGAAAGAUGAAAACAUAAAUUAGAGAGAGAUUAGCCUAGGGUAUGUGUUUUCUUAUAGCUGCUGUUUUCUUUCUCUCCAGCACCAUCUCCAUCAGAUACAUGACGCUUGGGAGUGUUUUACUGUUUUUGGUCGAAAUGAUUCUGUAAUUAGGCCCGUCAUAAUUGUCAGCACCAGGCCCACUGGGCUCUUAAUCUGGCCCUGUC